GCCUAAUCCGAACCCGAUAAAUACCCGCAAGACCUCCGAUGAACCCUCCCAGCCCCGCGCCCGCUCUCUCUCCGCCGUUUCUCCGACGCCCUCUCCCCCUCCCACAUGUACGGGCAGCCGCCGCGCUUCCGCCCCUCCGGCGGCGGCCGCGGGCAGCCUCCGCCGCCGCAGCAGCCAACUGCGAUGCCGAACCCUCACGGGAUUGACGCCGACGUAGAUUGGUGUCAUUCUUCAUGACUCUCACGGGAUUGCCCAGGUGAGAGCGUCACGGGGAGCAAGAUUUUGCGUAUCCUCAAGGCUACGGCUGUUCAGAGAUCUGAGUGCCCUUUUCACUAGUUGUCUCUGGUUCAAUACAAACGUCUUCUUUGGUAAAGGAUUUUUGUGGGGAUGGUUGAGUUGCUGGCUGAGAGGGUUCACCAAUUGGCGGUCCAUGAGAUCCUAUGAUUUGUUUGAGUGCCAGUUCUGAUUCAAGAAUUUUGAGUAAUGCUGGUCCAUGAGUUUCUGUAAUUUGUGCAAAUAGACCCUUGAGGACCACUUCUUUUUCUAGUGGGAUUUGUGCUAAGGGAGAUGAAGCAGUAAGUCGUAGAGGUGAAACAGGAGAUACAACUGCUAUCUUCUUUCCAAGAUGUAAUCGAGAUUUAGGCAUUUUUUCUACAGCAGUUAUUCCUUCCAUAGAAGAUGAUAAUUCUGUACUUGCCAUCCUUGAUCCUCCGGCUUGUUGAGAUUGAGAAAUACUCUGGCUUUGGGUUGCUUUAGUAGAUCCUUUGGGUUGGUCAGUGA